rnacentral:misc_RNA from 1 species
UAUUCUCAACUCUCCAAUACUUUGUUGUAAAGGAGAGCUUGGAUUGUGGAGGUUUGCUGGCCCCUUACUUGGGGUCAGCUCCUCUGAAAUGCAUUAGCGGAACCGUCUGCGAUCUGCCACAAGUGUGAUAACUUAUCUACACUGGCGAGGGGAUUGCUUUCUGAUGUUCAGCUUCUAAUCGUCUAAGGACAAUUUCUUGAAU